rnacentral:rRNA from 1 species
UGGGGAAUAUUGCACAAUGGAGGAAACUCUGAUGCAGCAACGCCGCGUGGAGGAUGACGCAUUUCGGUGUGUAAACUCCUUUUAUAUAGGAAGAUAAUGACGGUACUAUAUGAAUAAGCACCGGCUAACUCCGUGCCAGCAGCCGCGGUAAUACGGAGGGUGCAAAGCGUUACUCGGAAUCACUGGGCGUAAAGCGCGCGCAGGCGGUCUAAUAAGUUGGAUGUGAAAUUCUAGGGCUCAACCGUAGGACUGCAUCCAAAACUGUUAGACUAGAGUGUGGGAGAGGAAGAUGGAAUUAGUUGUGUAGGGGUAAAAUCCGUAGAGAUAACUAGGAAUACCAAAAGCGAAGG